AUUACCAAAUGAGAAAAUUUUGGAAGAAAAUUAUGUGCAGAAUAUUUACAAAAAGCAAUCAUAACUUAAGCUACUAUUUACAAUAUUUACAAAAUGUUAGGUUCACCAAGAAAUUCAAACUAUGGGCGUGUAACGUUCCUUCGGUACUGUACGGUGAUUCAAUUAAAUUUCCCAAAUAGAUUAUUCCCAAAUACGGCAUCGCUUUAUUUUUUUAAAACGAGCUUCCAAUAUUCCAAGGCAAUUUUACUAGAGGACCGCUCCAAUCACUAUGUUGGAAAGGCACCCCCAGCAAAACUCCCAUGCUAUUUACUUUUCGAGAGAAUUUCCUUCUUUGGAAACUUCUCUCUAUUAGGCAAACGCAUUAUCCCCAAAUUAAAAAUUCCCCAGCAGUAACUCUAACGACGACUCUUCGUCUAGUGAGAAAUCUGCCACAUAAAUAUUCAUAAAUACCCCAAACAAUUAAAACAAUAAAUUGGCACAUUCACAUACAGGACUACUCCAACACUACGGUUGGAAAGGUAUCCUACAUAAAUCUACCUUCUGUUUACGUCAAAGACACCCCAGGACACACCUGAACACGAAUCUUUGCCCGCAAACGCAAUAACCCACAUUAAUUUACCCAGCAGUAACUCAUACACCGAAAUUAUUGGUCACAGAGAAAACUGCCACUGCAAUUCGCAUAAAUACUCAACAUACAAUGGUUAUGCUUCUACACCGGACUACAUCCGACAACAUGAAACAUUAACCGACAUAAAUAACUCCAAACACAUUUUACGAAAUGUUUCUAACAUCGAACAUAAUCGACCAGAACGAAACAGACGAAAAAUGAUUAAACACCCUGUGCUAUAAAAAGCUCCGCACUAAAUUACGCACACAUAUGAACACCCGUACAGCAGCGAUAGAAACGUCAAACGUAAAGUAAACAGUGAUUAAGAAGAGUGUGUUUUGUGCUACAGGAUAGUAAAUCGGAAAAAACAGAGCCAUAUCACCGCCCCGAUCGGCACCCGACGGACGGACUAGACUACCCGGGUACGAGUAGGGUCUGGAGGAAAAUAUUGAGGUAGAACCGGACAUCGAGGGAAAAAGUGAACAGGAAAGAUGACUUCCAAUUACAGGUAAGAUUUCGAACAUAAACUAAUAUUUUUAAAAUUUUAGGAUAGCCGGAGAACUGGAAUGAAAUUUUGCACCGAAGGACGGCUGCAGCGGCUUGCUAGCAGGACGGCAGCGAGCCAUAAAAUUUUUCAACUAUAAAUUUACCAAGAUAUAAAUUUUCCAACCAGACAAAAAUUUCAGAAACUAACAAUAUUUUUAAGCAAACCAUGUUAACUAACAUAAAUAAUUAACUAACUAAACAAAUGAAUAAAUAACAGAUAGAGAAAAUAAAUAAAUUAACCCUAAUUCAGCAACCAUAUAAACAUCUAAAUAAAUAUUUACUUAUAUUCUAAAUAUAAAUAAAUAAAUAAAUAACAUGCAAUUAAAUCUACUAUUUACAAAUUAAACUGACCAUACUAACUCAAAAUAAUAAAUUUAAGUAGCAGGACAAUUUAAAAAUAUACAUAGCGUUAGGUACUAACUUACACCUAAGACUCGA